CACGGGGGGAGCAAGCGUUAUUCGGAAUCACUGGGCUUAAAGAGUCCGUAGGCGGCCUGUUAGGUGAGGUGUGAAAUCCCCCGGCUCAACCGAGGAAUUGCGCUUCAAACCGGCAGGCUUGAGGAGGAUAGAGGUGGGCGGAACUGAUGGUGGAGCGGUGAAAUGCGUUGAUAUCAUCAGGAACACCGGAGGCGAAAGCGGUCCACUGGGUCCUUUCUGACGCUGAGGGACGAAAGCUAGGGGAGCGAACAGG
rnacentral:rRNA from 1 species